GAACCCUUGGCACAGUGGUAGCGCGUGAGAUUCCAGUUGACCGGCUUCUACGGUUACAUGGGGAUUCCUCAAGGUCGUCCGUUCAAUCCGGGCAGGGUUCA